UCCUGCUAACUAACCUCACAGCUAUCUUCCUCAUUUAGAGCUUCCUCUUUGCAGUGCUGCCCUAUUAAUGAUCGGACGCUCUGCCUUAUGUGCAUUGUUGUCUGGUACGCCAAGAGAAGUUCUGUCUGAACUGAGAACACAAUCAAAGGGGCUUCUGGGAAACAAUGCAACUGAAAAAUCUUCCAAUGACAGUGAAGCUCAAGUUAGCAGCAUGAAGUGAAGGGGUUUGAAACUCGUCAGUACAGUCCAUCCAAAAGGCCUCCCACUUAGUGUAUUUGACAAGCUGAGUUGGACACUCGGUAUGUCAGGGUGUCAGUUUGUCAAAUACCCCAAGUGAGAGGUCACUUAUCGCCAUGAUCAUAUCCUGAAGUUCCCAGACAACCAGAUUCAAAGUUAUCGUCGGAGACACAACCUGUAAGCUUGCAGUUAUCUCAGAGUACAGUUUGGAAUCGGAAGUUUACUAACAAUGCACUCUUUUCCUUAUAGAACAUUCUCCAAGCUGCUUAUGAGACAUCUGUUUGCACAGUUUAAUAUGUCAGAGUGGAAUAUUUUUGUGAUUAUAUUUAAUACGUUUAUACCAGAGGAAUCCUAUUUCUUGUCACUUAUGUCAAUAUGAAACACUUGAAUAAAAUCUAAAAUAGGUUUAAUAAUGAUUGUAUGAUAUGUAAAAUAAAAUACUUUUUGAAAAGUAACAUUGGAAAAAUAUAAUGAAUUCUUGAUAUUUUUGUUUUAAUUAUUUUUGUUAAAAUAAAAUGUAAUCUUGGCAUGAAAUGACACCAGGACAAUUAGGUACAUCAUAGGGUUAAUAAACAAACUUCAAAAUGGA